UUCUUUUUAAUCAUAAAAUUCUGAUAGACACUUUGUCCUAAGCUUGUUUUAACAACUAACCACACUAAACUGGUUGUUGCUGUAGUUAACCAGCACUAAUCAGCAUAAUCUGCUUAAAGCAGAAUAAAUUAAUGCAGGGAUAAGCUGCUGUUUUUCUGUGGGAAAAGCUGAGAUUGCAUUUUUCAAAAUUAAGGCAAAUAUAAAGGAUGAAAAAGUAAUCAUAGAUUAUUUGCCACCCCACAGCCAGAGGGUAACCUCCCCUGAAUUUUAUAACUAAUAAUCCAUAAAGCAUAAAAGAUUGCACAGACACAGAGUAAUUGUGACACCUUGCCAAAAAAACCCUAGUUAUCAUGCUCAGGGGAAAAAAAAAAGAACAACAAGGCUCAAAGGAAGCAGUGCAUAUAAAGCACUACAACACAACAAGACUUCGAAGACCACACUGCAAUUUCACAAGAACAAAAAUCUCAACAUGUACUUGUUCCUCGGCUGUCAGAGGCCUCAGUCAAACCAUCAGACACCCUCUCCAAUGUAAUAAAAGCCCUGAUCCGGUAGUGCUUCUCUAAUGGGAGCACUGAGAAGAGACUGCAUCCGGAACGAGGACUGUUCAGAGACUGGAUAUGUUCAAAGAAGUCAUAGCAUUCAUGAACACUGAAACUAUAAUCAGUGCGCUUCUAUUUGUGUGCCUGCUCAAACUAUUGGAGUGGGGAGGAAAUGUGUGGUUUAACACUGAGAUCCACAACAAAAUCAAGGACUAACGGCUUUCAGGUCUGGUAGUAUAGCAGAACAGCUACUUACACUUUGUCAAGAACCUUUUAAAUAAAUAAUUAGCAUUCCUAACAACAAAUCUGCAAUAACGGACACUGACACUCAACCUAAAAUACUUUUAUGCCCACUUUGAUGCCACUAAUUAUGACAUUACCAAACAAAACCCCAGCAAGCACAUGUACCUAUUCCACAGAUUAUAUUUGAUGCUAUGUGGUUCUGCAAAAAGAAAGCCAAUAGAAAAAAGAAUGUGAUGUUUCAUCUAGCAUAAUGAAAACAUGUUCUGUAUAGUUGAAGAGAAUAUAUUCAUACACAAUUCCCAUUUUACUCCAACAAGAGACCACUCCACACUGUGUUAAACAAUCUGCUAUACACCAACUACACACACAGCAGUAGCCAUGUGCUAGAAGCUAGUAACAUAUCAAUAUGAUAAUUCCACAUUUCCUUGAAGGCCAGCAGGCUGCCUCAUACACAAACAGGUCUGUAGACAAGACACCAGAUAUAGGUCCUUACUCUUCUCUCCAGCACCAGCAGAAAUUUAAUUCCUAUGUACUAGGUAACCUCAAUACGCCAGUGAGGAAUCUAGUUGACCUUGUCCUACUAUCUGACAAUUGCAUCUGUAUCUUUGACAUUUCAUCUAA